AGAAUCAACGCUGGCGGCGUGCCUAACACAUGCAAGUCGCACGAGAAAGGGGAGCAAUCCCUGAGUGAAGUGGCGCACGGGUGAGUAACACGUGAAUAAUCUACCUCCGAGUGGGGAAUAACUGAGAGAAAUCUUAGCUAAUACCGCAUAACACUUACGAGUCAAAGCAGCAAUGCGCUUGGAGAGGAGUUCGCGGCCGAUUAGUUAGUUGGCGGGGUAAUGGCCCACCAAGACGAUGAU
rnacentral:rRNA from 1 species